GAUGAACGCUGGCGGCGUGCCUAAUACAUGCAAGUCGAGCGAAUGGAUUAAGAGCUUGCUCUUAUGAAGCUAGCGGCGGACGGGUGAGUAACACGUGGGUAACCUGCCCAUAAGACUGGGAUAACUCCGGGAAACCGGGGCUAAUACCGGAUAAUAUUUUGAACUGCAUGGUUCAAAAUUGAAAGGCGGCUUCGGCUGUCACUUAUGGAUGGACCCGCGUCGCAUUAGCUAGUUGGUGAGGUAACGGCUCACCAAGGCAACGAUGCGUAGCCGACCUGAGAGGGUGAUCGGCCACACUGGGACUGGAACACGGCCCAGACUCCUACGGGAGGCAGCAGUAGGGAAUCUUCCGCAAUGGACGAAAGUCUGACGGAGCAACGCCGCGUGAGUGAUGAAGGCUUUCGGGUCGUAAAACUCUGUUGUUAGGGAAGAACAAGUGCUAGUUGAAUAAGCUGGCACCUUGACGGUACCUAACCAGAAAGCCACGGCUAACUACGUGCCAGCCGCCGCCGUAA
rnacentral:rRNA from 1 species